GCCUUCGUGGUGUAACGGUAGCACAAUGUGGCACGUAUUCCAGAGGUACAGGUUCGAGUCCCGGCGAAGGCA
rnacentral:tRNA from 1 species